GGUGGCUGCUGUGUACUAGGCGGUGUUGCCUGCAGGCAGUCCUCUGUUGCCCAGGAAACACAGAUGGUGGAUGAAGGGUGCGCAUACAAAAGACCCUAAACCUGUGGCAGCAGCUGGAGACCGAGCCUAAUGAUUAAUUCAGGUCUGUGCGGACCCACUCACUCAAAGACGUCUCUGUUCGCUCUAAUACCUCCCAUCCAUUUUCUUUGUCCCGGGGCUUCCGUCUCCCACUUUAUCCUGUUUUCCCCGGACUGGUCUCUCGUCAGUGCGCAGCUGUUGUUGGCACACCUACAUCUGCUUGUCUCGGCAGCCAUGUAGACGAAGCUCAGCCACGGCUAGUGUUAGUCUGUAGCGUGUAUAGGUCCGGGGGGCGAGCUGCCUCUCACUGCGAGCUAAUCGCUGUACACACACGGCGUGGAUUUGCUGUAACUGCCACCUGGCCCUCAGCAUGGAAGAGGAAGAUGAAGGAGAAAAAGAAGAAGUGAUCUUUUCGCACCGUGUGAUGCUGCGGGACAGGUGCAUGUGGAACCCGUCAUCACUGGUAACCCGUGUUGUCGGUGUCACUGGAUUCAUCUACAGAGCUGCUGACAUGUCACCGGUCAGGAAACCUGGAGGAUCCACAAGGGAACCAACAUCAGGACAGGUUAUGUGUACAGGCUUUAUUAUAUUUUUAUUCAGAAAACCUGAGGGAGGAUAGCUCUUGAUGACACACAAUAUCAGAUGAAGAAUUGCAUAGCAUUAGUCAGUCAGUUAGAUAACUGAUACUUUGACUGUUUAAGCAGUGGGUGUACUUCAGUCAGGAACAAUAUAAGAAAAAAAAUCCCUGGGGUAUCUCAGGAGGACAGUUGCAUUGUGUCCCACUUUUCUGCUGCUUUGUGUUGUGUAUUCUUCUCUAGUUACACUGAUGACAAAACAGACCUGGCUUGCUCUGGACCUUCACAAGCGACAUGGCUCCGUGGCCCCUCUGCUGUGCUGCACACACACUGUGACCGAUGCAUGGUGCCAUCACUGAUCUUUUGGUCCCUCAGAAGGAAAGGAUCCGUGUCCUAGUGUUCCCCUACUGAGAGACGACUUCCGCAGCUUUUGUGUAUCAGUGAAAAAGGCUUUGAAGAGCUAAAAAUGCCACCAGUGCUUUGUAGUCACUGUCAGCAUGAUCAGAUUUAGCAGGGGUGGUGUUUUGAGUCCAGAAUAAUUUGCUGCACUGUUCAUUCCUGUUCCUUUCAAAUGUGCCUAUUUUCCGAGCUGUGAGUAAUAUUAAUAUAGCUUCAUCCACCCCCACUCAUGUUUUUAUUUUUGGCUUGAUAAAAAACAUAGACACUGCAGCCACUGAACAUCUCACAUACUCUUUUUCUCUAAGCUGUCAUGUGCAGUGACCUCUUUGCUUGUUUUUUCUUUAUUCUGUCCACCACUUCUUAUCUUCUCUUUGUAUAAAAAUCACGAGAAGAGGUGUUUUAACUUCUCACCAAAGCUGCUUCAGUGUGACAGUGACUCACAUUUUGACAAUAUGUUCUUUGUUUGUCUUGAUACAUCCUUAUUGUGUGUGAUAUCAGCUUCUAUUUUUUGUACUGUAUUCAGUGCAUAUUCUGCUUAAUUCGACUGUAGCGCGUGGGUGUGUGUGUGUCUGCGUGAGUGCACGUGAUUGUGUGCAUGUGCUCUAUUUCUGUGCGUGUUUGUUCCUAUGUGUGCAUGUGUCAGUCUGAUGAAACACGUUUGUAAUGGGCCUGAAGCUACUAGCUGCUUUUUAGUGGUGUUCUAUCUCUGCACAGACUUUAAAAUGCCUGAAAUUCUUCUUGAAGCACAAUAGAUGUAACGGACAAAGGAUAAAAAAGUAUUUACAAAUGAUUCUUGGCAUUUGUUAUGACAUAGUUGCAGUACCAGCUAGGUGGGGGUGCUUGUGAUUUAGAUAAUUGCAGGAAUGUUGCUGGAAAUUAAUGGUGUGUAGUUUUCCAAAUGGUGUCUGCUAGCAUUAAUUAAACUGUCCUGAUGCCUACAGCCCCAUCAUCUGAUACUCCAGCAAAUUACAGCAAAUGCUAAUAAUUAUGUGCAAAUACGUUUUUACCCAUGUCUGGAUUCUACUAACAAUAUCUGACUAAUAUCUAACAAUACUAAUGUCUUCUAACAGUUGGGUGAUUACUAACAUGUACUCUGAAUGCUCAUGGCUGGCCUUGUUCUUCCUAACUCACUGACUAACCCUCUGCUUUAUGCCCGCAGUCCGAUGCACACACUCCUCUCUCACGAUCCUGCAAUCCUUCUUCUUGAAAUCCGAUACAUUAUUAAAGGGGAAAAUCAAUUAAAACUGUUAAAGUGAGCAUGUCAAGAAGGGUUUCAGGGCUUGGGAAGGGAAAUGUUAUUAACAAGUAGAUGCAAAGAGGAGCAGAAACAGCUGCGGAUAUCUAACUGGGUUGACCACAUACUUUAGAAGAUUAUUCACAACACUGAUAAUGAUCUGAUUUCCAAAAACACAUCAUCACACUCCACAGGCUAAAUUCACAUCUGUUGAGACUGUCUGUGUGCUGUGUGGUCAACCCUCGCAGGUGAGUGCCUGCAUUGCUUUUACCACAGUCCUAGAAAACCUCAUACUAAGUUAUUAUGGUGUUGAUACUAACAGUGGUGAGGUGAUAAAGGCCCACCUGUUGCUCCUACUAACAUCUGUGUUACUUCUCACCAAUAAUUCUCUCUAGUCUGUAAUCCAAUGACUCCCUCUUUUUGUUAAUCUUUAUAUUAAAGCAUGCCUCAUGGUGACUCAAGUGAUUUCUACUAAUUAAUUUUACACAGAACAUUUUAUUCAAAACAUUACUGAGUGCCAUGACUGUAUGCUUUUUAGCAAUGGGAGCUAUAUAAUUCUAACCGUGACGAUUACAUGCACUGCAGACAUCCUUAUAAACACAAGCUACUAACCUCUCCUAAAGUUAUAUUAACAGGUACUAACCAAAGAGCUUUCAUUAGCUCUCUGCAAACUAACAUACUAACCCACUAAUAAACUAAUAACCUAACAAAAACUAACUAAAAUCACUUAAUUAGUGAAGCGCCCUGAUUUUGAGGAGUUGCAUCACUUAUUGAAUAUACUAACAGAAUUAAGUUUUAAAAAGUUGAAUGCGCCUGUCUGUGUGUGUGAGAGAGAAAUACAAGUGUGUGUGUGUGUGUGUGUGUGUGUGUGUGUGUGUGUGUGUGUGUGUGUGUGUGUGUGUGUGUGUGUGUGUGUGUGUGUGUGUGUGUGUGUUCUCUUAAACACUUAACCAUACCAAUGCAUAUUAUCUUUGUACUGCAGUUAAAUGUAUCCUCAGUUACUCUUUUCACCGUGCACCGGAAUACUCAAAAAACACACCUUGAACCUCUAUGUUAAUUUCAAUGUGCACACCUAUUUUUGUACUUGACUCUCUACCAGUCAUCUCAGCUGUCUUUUUUUGUAAUAAAAAAUGUUCACAGAUAUAUAUAUA